GGUGCUGUUGAAGAGCACAGUUACAGACAGAGCUGACCAGGCUCUUCCAGAGUGCCAGUUGUCCAGCAGCAUGUUCAUUACCCUGAAGAUGUAUGAUGGUUGAACUAAACCCAUUCAUUCUAAGAAAAGGUUCUGUGGAGGGCUUUAAGCCCUUGAUAAUUGUCUUAAAAGCUACUGAUGGGAAAAAGAUCAGCACUGUGGUGAGCACUGAAGAGCUGAAUCAUAUGGCUAAUUCAAACAUAUUAAGAGCUAACAUGGAUGGGCUGAAGAAUAGGGACAAAAUGAGUAAGAGUAAGCAGCACAG
rnacentral:lncRNA from 1 species